UAACCCUAUGAUUGUUUUAAGGUAAAUGGAAAUUAAUGCAUCGUUUUCCACUGAUCUUAUUGCGUAUGUUCACAAUCCUAGGUGCAUAAAUGUAUUUCAUACUGAGAGAGUGCUAAAGUUCAGUUAGCAUAAGGAACUAGCCUGAACUUGUUUCGCAGCUGACUGUAGCCGCUGACAAUGCCUAGAAUCAGUUGGUGCCAACAAUGCUGGAAGGAAAAUGGAGUUUGUCCUGAAGGUGUCUUGCUGUCCCAUGCUGAAAAAUAAGGAGACCACCGUACUUAUCAGCAAUGCCGUGCUUUGAAUCCUGAACAGAACUAGAAUACACCUGAAAUAAAAUUUGUGAGCUACGCAAGUC